UACGUAGGAUGCAAGCGUUGUCCGGAAUUAUUGGGCGUAAAGAGCGCGCAGGCGGUCUAUCAAGUCAGAUGUGAAAUAUCCAGGCUUAACCUGGAGGGGUCAUUUGAAACUGGUAGACUAGAGUACAGCAGAGGAUAGUGGAAUUCCAGGUGUAGCGGUGAAAUGCGUAGAUAUCUGGAGGAAUACCGGUGGCGAAGGCGGCAUCCUGGACCAUUACUGACGCUGAGGCGCGAAAGCUAGGGGAGCAAACGGG
rnacentral:rRNA from 1 species